CCUACGGGUGGCAGCAGUGAGGAAUAUUGGUCAAUGGGCGAGAUCCUGAACCAGCCAAGCCGCGUGAGGGACGCCGGCCCUAUGGGUUGUAAACCUCUUUUGUCGGAGAACAAAACCCGGGACGUGUCCCGGACUGCGUGUAUCCGAAGAAAAAGCAUCGGCUAACUCCGUUCCAGCCGCCGCGGUACUACGGAGGCUGGGAGCGUUAUCCGGAUUUAUUGGGUUUAAGGGUUGCGCAGGGGGUCCGUUAAGUCAGCGGUAAAAUGCCGGGGCUCAACCCCGUCGAGCCGUUGAAACUGGCAGACUUGAGUGGGCGAGAAGUACGCGGAAUGCGCGGUGUAGCGGUGAAAUGCAUAGAUAUCGCGCAGAACUCCGAUUGCGAAGGCAGCGUACCGGCGCCAGACUGACGCUGAGGCACGAAAGCGUGGGGAUCGAACAGGAUUAGAUACCCGAGUAGUC
rnacentral:rRNA from 1 species